UUAAGCGACUAAGCGUACACGGUGGAUGCCCUGGCAGUCAGAGGCGAUGAAGGACGUGCUAAUCUGCGAAAAGCGUCGGUAAGGUGAUAUGAACCGUUACAGCCGGCGAUGUCCGAAUGGGGAAACCCAGUGCAAUUCGUUGCACUAUCGUUAACUGAAUACAUAGGUUAACGAGGCGAACCGGGGGAACUGAAACAUCUAAGUACCCCGAGGAAAAGAAAUCAACCGAGAUUCCCCCAGUAGCGGCGAGCGAACGGGGAGCAGCCCAGAGUCUGAAUCAGCUUGUGUGUUAGUGGAACGGUCUGGAAAGUCCGACGGUACAGGGUGAUAGUCCCGUACACCAAAAUGCACAGGUUGUGAACUCGAAGAGUAGGGCGGGACACGUGGUAUCCUGUCUGAAUAUGGGGGGACCAUCCUCCAAGGCUAAAUACUCCUGACUGACCGAUAGUGAACCAGUACCGUGAGGGAAAGGCGAAAAGAACCCCGGCGAGGGGAGUGAAAAAGAACCUGAAACCGUGUACGUACAAGCAGUGGGAGCACCUUCGGGUGUGACUGCGUACCUUUUGUAUAAUGGGUCAGCGACUUAUAUUCUGUAGCAAGGUUAACCGUAUAGGGGAGCCGCAGGGAAACCGAGUCUUAACUGGGCGUUAAGUUGCAGGGUAUAGACCCGAAACCCGGUGAUCUAGCCAUGGGCAGGUUGAAGGUUGGGUAACACUAACUGGAGGACCGAACCGACUAAUGUUGAAAAAUUAGCGGAUGACUUGUGGCUGGGGGUGAAAGGCCAAUCAAACCGGGAGAUAGCUGGUUCUCCCCGAAAGCUAUUUAGGUAGCGCCUCGUGAAUUCAUCUUCGGGGGUAGAGCACUGUUUCGGCUAGGGGGUCAUCCCGACUUACCAACCCGAUGCAAACUACGAAUACCGAAGAAUGUUAUCACGGGAGACACACGGCGGGUGCUAACGUCCGUCGUGAAGAGGGAAACAACCCAGACCGCCAGCUAAGGUCCCAAAGUCAUGGUUAAGUGGGAAACGAUGUGGGAAGGCACAGACAGCCAGGAUGUUGGCUUAGAAGCAGCCAUCAUUUAAAGAAAGCGUAAUAGCUCACUGGUCGAGUCGGCCUGCGCGGAAGAUGUAACGGGGCUAAACCAUGCACCGAAGCUGCGGCAGCGACACUAUGUGUUGUUGGGUAGGGGAGCGUUCUGUAAGCCUGCGAAGGUGACCUGUGAGGGUUGCUGGAGGUAUCAGAAGUGCGAAUGCUGACAUAAGUAACGAUAAAGCGGGUGAAAAGCCCGCUCGCCGGAAGACCAAGGGUUCCUGUCCAACGUUAAUCGGGGCAGGGUGAGUCGACCCCUAAGGCGAGGCCGAAAGGCGUAGUCGAUGGGAAACAGGUUAAUAUUCCUGUACUUGGUGUUACUGCGAAGGGGGGACGGAGAAGGCUAUGUUAGCCGGGCGACGGUUGUCCCGGUUUAAGCAUGUAGGCUGGUUAUCCAGGCAAAUCCGGAUAAUCAAGGCUGAGGUGUGAUGACGAGGCACUACGGUGCUGAAGUAACAAAUGCCCUGCUUCCAGGAAAAGCCUCUAAGCAUCAGGUAACAUCAAAUCGUACCCCAAACCGACACAGGUGGUCAGGUAGAGAAUACCAAGGCGCUUGAGAGAACUCGGGUGAAGGAACUAGGCAAAAUGGUGCCGUAACUUCGGGAGAAGGCACGCUGGUGUGUAGGUGAAGUCCCUGCGGAUGGAGCUGAGACCAGUCGAAGAUACCAGCUGGCUGCAACUGUUUAUUAAAAACACAGCACUGUGCAAACACGAAAGUGGACGUAUACGGUGUGACGCCUGCCCGGUGCCGGAAGGUUAAUUGAUGGGGUUAUCCGUAAGGAGAAGCUCUUGAUCGAAGCCCCGGUAAACGGCGGCCGUAACUAUAACGGUCCUAAGGUAGCGAAAUUCCUUGUCGGGUAAGUUCCGACCUGCACGAAUGGCGUAAUGAUGGCCAGGCUGUCUCCACCCGAGACUCAGUGAAAUUGAACUCGCUGUGAAGAUGCAGUGUACCCGCGGCAAGACGGAAAGACCCCGUGAACCUUUACUAUAGCUUGACACUGAACAUUGAGCCUUGAUGUGUAGGAUAGGUGGGAGGCUUUGAAGCGUGGACGCCAGUCUGCGUGGAGCCAACCUUGAAAUACCACCCUUUAAUGUUUGAUGUUCUAACGUUGGCCCCUGACCGGGGUUGCGGACAGUGUCUGGUGGGUAGUUUGACUGGGGCGGUCUCCUCCCAAAGCGUAACGGAGGAGCACGAAGGUUAGCUAAUCCUGGUCGGACAUCAGGAGGUUAGUGCAAUGGCAUAAGCUAGCUUGACUGCGAGCGUGACGGCGCGAGCAGGUGCGAAAGCAGGUCAUAGUGAUCCGGUGGUUCUGAAUGGAAGGGCCAUCGCUCAACGGAUAAAAGGUACUCCGGGGAUAACAGGCUGAUACCGCCCAAGAGUUCAUAUCGACGGCGGUGUUUGGCACCUCGAUGUCGGCUCAUCACAUCCUGGGGCUGAAGUAGGUCCCAAGGGUAUGGCUGUUCGCCAUUUAAAGUGGUACGCGAGCUGGGUUUAGAACGUCGUGAGACAGUUCGGUCCCUAUCUGCCGUGGGCGCUGGAGAAUUGAGGGGGGCUGCUCCUAGUACGAGAGGACCGGAGUGGACGCAUCACUGGUGUUCGGGUUGUCAUGCCAAUGGCACUGCCCGGUAGCUAAAUGCGGAAGAGAUAAGUGCUGAAAGCAUCUAAGCACGAAACUUGCCCCGAGAUGAGUUCUCCCUGAGACUUUAAGUCUCCUGAAGGAACGUUGAAGACGACGACGUUGAUAGGCCGGGUGUGUAAGCGCAGCGAUGCGUUGAGCUAACCGGUACUAAUGAACCGUGAGGCUUAACCU
rnacentral:rRNA from 1 species